AUCGAUGAAGAACGCAGCGAAUUGCGAUAUGUAAUGUGAAUUGCAGAAUUCAGUGAAUCAUCGAAUCUUUGAACGCACCUUGCGCCCUUUGGUAUUCCGAAGGGCAUGCCUGUUUGAGUGUCAUUAAAUUCUCAACUUCAAAUUUCUAUUUUGAAGCUUGGAUGUUGGAGGCUUUGCAGGCAUUUAUUUGCCAGCUCCUCUUAAAUGCAUUAGCAGGACUUGUACGUUCGGCUCUGGUUUGAUAAUACUAUCUAUGCCAUUGCUGAAAGGUCAUUGUUCAGCUUCUAAUGGUCCAUUGCAUUGGACUGUCUCUUUGGAGGCAUAACCUUUUGACUUGACCUCAAAUCAGGUAGGACUACCCGCUGAACUUAAGCAUAUCAAUAAGCGGAGGAAAAGAAACUAACAAGGAUUCCCUUAGUAACUGCGAGUGAAGAGGGAAGAGCUCAAAUUUGAAAUCUGGCGGUCCUUCGGCUGUCCGAGUUGUAGUUUAGAGAAGUGCUAUCCGCGCUGGCCCGUGCAUAAGUUUCUUGGAAAAGAACAUCAUAGAGGGUGACAAUCCCGUCUUUGGCACGGAUCCCAGGGCUUUUGUGAUGCGCUCUCGACGAGUCGAGUUGUUUGGGAAUGCAGCUCUAAAUGGGUGGUAAAUUCCAUCUAAAGCUAAAUAUUGGCGAGAGACCGAUAGCGAACAAGUACCGUGAGGGAAAGAUGAAAAGAACUUUGAAAAGAGAGUUAAACAGUACGUGAAAUUGUUGAAAGGGAAACGCUUGAAGUCAGUCGUGUCCUCUAGGGAUCAAGUCAGCUCUGGCUGGCCGUACUUUCUAGUUGGAUGGGUCAGCAUCAAUUUUGAUCGCUGGAUAAAGGCCUUGGGAAUGUGGCAUCUUCGGAUGUGUUAUAGACCAUGGUUCUGAUACAGCGGUUGGGAUUGAGGAACUCAGCGCGCCUUCGUGGUUGCGUUCAGGAUGCUGGCAUAAUGGCUUUAAUCGACUGGWCUUGAAACACGG
rnacentral:rRNA from 1 species